UUUGUAGAUUUUUAUACCAAUUUUUUAAUUAUAUGUACAGCAGUUAUUUAUACACAAGUCAAGCUGUUAACAUAUUCACUGUGGACCAGAGUGACCGCCAGGUUAAGUUGUUCCCCAGGUCUGAUUUUUUCAAUAGUUGGAUAUACAUUAGUUGGCAUUACUUAUGCCAUUAAAAACUUCUGAGUGAUUGGACUAAGUAGAAAAAGUUUGCUCAAAAUUUUUUUUUUACUCAAAAAUUUUUAGCCAUAAAAAUCUUAAUAAAUUAGUUGAAAACUCGGUUUAAAGUCCGCGACAUUAAAUUGUGUAUAAAAUGGCGGACUAUUUACAUAAAACGUGUGCUGUUUGUCUUACACAGUUUGGUAAAAAGUCAUCAAAAAUUCAAAAGAUUACUCCAGCAAUUGAAACAAAGAUAAAAACUUUCGUCUGGAGCCAGUAUAGUUUGAUGUAACCAACUAUCCCAAGGUUAUUUGUAACAAUUGUCACAGAAACCUCUAUGAUCUUGAUAGGAACAAAGUGGAGUACCUAGGCAACUGGAUAGAAAAGAUAUCCAAGAUUAAAAGAUUGCAUCUUAGAAGAUCAUCAAAUAUCAACAACAUUGUUGAUGAAAUUAAUGCUUCUAAUGAUUCUGAAUGUGCCAAGUCCUCCAGACUAUGUUCAACAUGCUUUGGUUUUGUAGUGCAAGGAGUAGUUCAUAUCUGUACAGAGAGCAAAGCUGUUAAUAAUCUCAUUGUAGCAGCAGAACAGCUUGGACCUAAAUAUUCAGAACGGGUAGCC